rnacentral:rRNA from 1 species
AUUGAACGCUGGCGGCAGGCCUAACACAUGCAAGUCGAGCGGAUGAAGGGAGCUUGCUCCUGGAUUCAGCGGCGGACGGGUGAGUAAUGCCUAGGAAUCUGCCUGGUAGUGGGGGAUAACGUCCGGAAACGGGCGCUAAUACCGCAUACGUCCUGAGGGAGAAAGUGGGGGAUCUUCGGACCUCACGCUAUCAGAUGAGCCUAGGUCGGAUUAGCUAGUUGGUGGGGUAAAGGCCUACCAAGGCGACGAUCCGUAACUGGUCUGAGAGGAUGAUCAGUCACACUGGAACUGAGACACGGUCCAGACUCCUACGGGAGGCAGCAGUGGGGAAUAUUGGACAAUGGGCGAAAGCCUGACCCAGCCAUGCCGCGUGUGUGAAGAAGGUCUUCGGAUUGUAAAGCACUGUAAGUUGGGAGGAAGGGCAGUAAGUUAAUACCUUGCUGUUUUGACGUUACCAACAGAAUAAGCACCGGCUAACUUCGUG